UCCGGUUGAUCCUGCCGGAGCCUACUGCUAUCGGUUUAGGACUAAGACAUGCAAGUUCAGCGACUCAGCAAGAGUUGCAGCGAACCGCUCAGUAACGAGUAGUCAACCUACCCCAUGGAGGAGGACAACUGCGGGAAACUGCAGUUAAUCCCCCAUAAACGAGGCACGCUGGAAUGCUGUCUCGCUAAAAAGGGUCAAUCUUAUGCUGAUUGAUACCGCCAUGGGACGGGACUGCUUCCGAUCAGGUAGUAGGUGGGGUAAUGGCCCACCUAGCCUCAGACCGGUACGGGCCGUGAGAGCGAUAGCCCGGAGAUGGAUACUGAGACAACGAUCCAGGCCCUACGGGGUGCAGCAGUCGCGAAACCUGGCCAAUGAGCUCAAGCUUGAGCCGGCUAAACCGAGUGGGGUCCUAGCGGGUCCCUUUUAACGAGUGUUAGUAGCUCGUUGAAUAAGGAGAGGGCAAGACUGGUGCCAGCCGCCGCGGUAAAACCAGCUCUUCGAGUGGUGGGCGUGCUUACUGGGCCUAAAGCAUCCGUAGCCGGGUCUGCAAGUCCACAGUUAAAGCCCACGUCUUAAGCGUGGAAUCGCUGUGGAUACUACAGACCUUGGGAUCGGGAGAGGCGUGAGGUACGUUUCGGGUAGGGGUGAAAUCCGAUAAUCCGAAACGGACCACCGGUGGCGAAGGCGUCACGCUAGAACGAGUCCGACGGUCAGGGAUGAAAGCCAGGGGAGCGAGCCGGAUUAGAUACCCGGGUAGUCCUGGCUGUAAACGAUGCCCGCUAAGUGUUGCGCAUGGCACGACUAUGCGCAGUGCCGAAGGGAAGCCGCUAAGCGGGCCGCCUGGGGAGUACGGUCGCAAGACUGAAACUUAAAGGAAUUGGCGGGGGAGCACCACAAGGGGUGGAGCCUGCGGUUUAAUUGGAUUCAACGCCGGG
rnacentral:rRNA from 1 species